GACGAACCGAGCGAACGUUGUUCGGAAUUACUGGGCGUAAAGCGCACGUAGGCGGGUCUGUAAGUAGGGGGUGAAAUCCCAGGGCUCAACCCUGGAACUGCCUUCUAGACUGCAGGCCUCGAGGUCGGGAGAGGCGAGUGGAAUACCGAGUGUAGAGGUGAAAUUCGUAGAUAUUCGGUGGAACACCAGUGGCGAAGGCGGCUCGCUGGACUGAUACUGACGCUGAGGUGCGAAAGCGUGGGGAGCAAACAGG
rnacentral:rRNA from 1 species